CGGACGGGUGAGUAACGCGUGGGCAACCUGCCCUUAUCUGGGGGAGUAACAGUUGGAAACGACUGAUAAUACCGCAUAAUAUGGUUUGAAGGCAUCUUCUUUCCAUCAAAGAUUUAUCGGAUAAGGAUGGGCCCGCGUCUGAUUAGCUUGUUGGUGAGGUAACGGCUCACCAAGGCGACGAUCAGUAGCCGACCUGAGAGGGUGAUCGGCCACAUUGGAACUGAGACACGGUCCAAACUCCUACGGGAGGCAGCAG
rnacentral:rRNA from 1 species